rnacentral:rRNA from 1 species
AGUGAACGCUGGCGGUAGGCCUAACACAUGCAAGUCGAACGGCAGCACAGUAAGAGCUUGCUCUUACGGGUGGCGAGUGGCGUACGGGUGAGGAAUACAUCGGAAUCUACUUUUUCGUGGGGGCUAACGUAGGGAAACUUACGCUACUACCGCUUACCACCUGCGGGUGAAAGCAGGGAAUCUUCGGACCUUGCGCAAUUGAAUGAGCCGAUGUCGGAUUAGCUAGUUGGCGGGGUAAAGGCCCACCAAGGCGACGAUCCGUACCUGGUCUGAGAGGAUGAUCAGCCACACUGGAACUGAGACACGGUCCAGACUCCUACGGGAGGCAGCAGUGGGGAAUAUUGGACAAUGGGCGCAAGCCUGAUCCAGCCAUACCGCGUGGGUGAAGAAGGCCUGCGGGUUGUAAAGCCCUUUUGUUGGGAAAGAAAAGCAGCAGGUUAAUACCCCGCUGUUCUGACGUUACCCAAAGAAUAAGCACCGGCUAACUUCGUG